GCGGUAGCGGUACUUUGGUAGAGCGGUGGAACGUUGAUCCACAGUCCCGGGUUCAAGUCCCGGCGGCCGCU